rnacentral:rRNA from 1 species
CUAGCGGCGGACGGGUGAGUAAUGCUUAGGAAUCUGCCUAUUAGUGGGGGACAACAUUCCGAAAGGGAUGCUAAUACCGCAUACGUCCUACGGGAGAAAGCAGGGGACCUUCGGGCCUUGCGCUAAUAGAUGAGCCUAAGUCGGAUUAGCUAGUUGGUGGGGUAAAGGCCUACCAAGGCGACGAUCUGUAGCGGGUCUGAGAGGAUGAUCCGCCACACUGGGACUGAGACACGGCCCAGACUCCUACGGGAGGCAGCAGUGGGGAAUAUUGGACAAUGGGGGGAACCCUGAUCCAGCCAUGCCGCGUGUGUGAAGAAGGCCUUAUGGUUGUAAAGCACUUUAAGCGAGGAGGAGGCUACCUAGAUUAAUACUCUAGGAUAGUGGACGUUACUCGCAGAAUAAGCACCGGCUAACUCUGUGCCAGCAGCCGCGGUAAUACAGAGGGUGCGAGCGUUAAUCGGAUUUACUGGGCGUAAAGCGUGCGUAGGUGGCUAAUUAAGUCAAAUGUGAAAUCCCCGAGCUUAACUUGGGA